rnacentral:rRNA from 1 species
UACGUAGGGCGCGAGCGUUGUCCGGAAUUAUUGGGCGUAAAGAGCUCGUAGGCGGCUUGUCGCGUCGGAUGUGAAAGCCCGGGGCUUAACUCCGGGUCUGCAUUCGAUACGGGCAGGCUAGAGUUCGGUAGGGGAGAUCGGAAUUCCUGGUGUAGCGGUGAAAUGCGCAGAUAUCAGGAGGAACACCGGUGGCGAAGGCGGGUCUCUGGGCCGAAAUUGACGCUGAGGAGCGAAAGCGUGGGGAGCAAACAGG